rnacentral:lncRNA from 1 species
ACACUUUAUGUGGUACCUUAUGUAAUAUCAGCAUUACACACCUCAAGACCUUUUCAGCUAUUUUAAGAUGAUACUAGGCAGUCUUCCCUAAUUCAUAUUUUAGUCUUGUGCUUUAUAUUGUAAAUCAUUCUAGAAUUUGAUUUUUUUCUACAUUUUUUGUACUAACAAUAGUGAACACACAUGAUGGAAUUUCAAACAGUGUAUAAUCGAUAUUUAGUUGAGGUAUGAAGUAUAAAUAAUAGCUAAGAUUGUGAUUCUUAGAAGCAUACUGCCAGGGUUUAAUUACUGGCAGCACCACUAAUGAUCUUCCAUUAAAAGAAACCUAGUUAUUCUCCUAUCUAUAAGUAAAAAAAUGAUAAGAUUGAAUGCUUUAGAGGGACAUUGAGGAGAAUUUAAUGGCUUUACAUGCAAAACAUGCUCUGAACAAUGUUUGUAUAUAAUGAAUUUUUAUUGUGUUAAUAAUUUUAUUAUCUAUUAAUACCAUUGCUAAUAAGAAUAGAUGUAUAGAGACGAAUAAAAAUAGGAAGUUACAGAAGCUAGAAGCUUGAGUAAUACACAAACUAAACAAACAAAAGACGUGUAAUUGAAUAUGAAAUGUGUACAAAAUUAAUGAUACAUGCUAACAGACUAUUCUUGCAUUGCAACAUGCUUUGUAUUUGUUAUCUAUGAGAAGAAACAUAAUUAUAAAUGCACUAGAUCAAUUUUUAAAUUAUUACUUGUAUCAUCCAUCUAUUUUUAUUUGUUUGGUGUCUUUAUUUUCCUUUGCAAUCUUUUCAUAAUUUAAUAUCUAAAUUGAUUUGGCAUAUCUUCUAGAAUAUGUUUCUCAGUGGCAUCUUUAAAUAUUAAAGAUACUAAAUUGAAUAUGUGCAGUAUAUAAAUGUAAUUGUUCACUAGUUUGAGAACAAUGUUUUCAUAUUUUUAAAAAAGUCUUAAACUUAUCUAAAAGUUAUCAGAUGCUAUUAUCUAUAAUUUUUAAAAGUCUUUUUUUCUCACAAAAGAAUAAAGUUAUAAAAAUUGAGCCCAUAAAUAGUGUCUUUCUUUGAAGUAUAGUAACAAGAUUCCAACUGGCUUGGACAUAAGUGUUCAAUAAACAUUUGUAGCUUGAUUAAUGUCUAUUUAUAAAUUUUGUGUGCUAAAUGAAGUGAGAUAGAAAUUCUGAGCAUGCUGUACAAAUCAAACCAAGCAUAAAACAAUGUGGCUUUUGAAGUCUUCUUAUGAUAAGUGGCCUUUAGUUUGACAUUUUGAAGCUGACUUGACAGCAUUAGGGUACUCACAGAUGUUGAUCCUGUGCCUAUUUUGUAAUGUUCAUUGUUAUUUGAGUUCAAAAUUGUGCUUAUAAACGUAUGUGUGAAACAGCUCCUCUUUCUCUGGUUAUUCUUUUUGUUUUGGACUGUUUCAGUGAAGCAUACCCUUUGUUAACUUUGAUUUUUUCCUUGAGUAAAUUCUACAACAUCAAGAAUGUAUAUUACCAACCUACAGUAUCAAGAUUAGUGUUUAAGUGGCAACAUACAGUAUUAUUACCAUAGCAUACUCUAUAUCCUUAAACAGUCAUAUUAACUUUGAUAGUUCAGUUGAAAUCUCUCCUCUCUGUUUAUAAUGACAUCCUGUUCAUUGCAUCUCCUUUGGAAAAAAAAUAUAGAAUACAGUUCCUAAAAUGUUAGAAACAGCAGGUUUGAGGAGAAACAGGAAUGAGAGCUCAUCCCACUGUGUUACACACAUGGCUAUGUCUCUGGUUUCCAUCUUCAGAAUUGCCAUAAUGGCAUAAUUAAGGCAUUUGCAAGGGAGUUGACACUGGGACCAAUUCAUAGCCACUGGGGUUACAGACAUAGCUUGAGAAGAAGGCUCUAUAGAUGUAGCAUGUAGUUGUGUAGAAGCAAGGUGAGACAAUAAUGAUCAGGCUGUGUAGACGAUAGACUGUAGGAAGCCACGGACAAGAAUGUAAGUUGGAGUGGAAGCUAGAUUCUCUGUUCAAAACUGUAGGCAGGAGUGUGAACAGCAUGCCCCUCAUUUCUGGAUUCUUCUGCUUCAUGGUGAGGAAGCUCCUGAUCCAGCCAUCUCUCUUGUGGCGUUCAAGAGUACACACCAUGCCUAGAGAUUAACACAUGAUUACUGCUGGCAGCUCUGGGCACUGUAGCUAGCCAGAAGUUGUAACUUCCUCCAAAGAUAUCAGCUCAAAACUGUUUGUUUCAGUUUCCUGGGCUAAAUUUAAUCUGGUACCUUCUGUGCUCCUAAUAGCAAGCAUUUUCAUAAUUCUUUAUGGAACCCAAUAGAGCUGGCUUUGGAAUCAAAUCAAUCAUUCGCCUUCAGACCAGACCUUCAGUUUUCCACAUUAUCCUGCUUACAGAAAUAUCCGAUUAGCUGGGGGUUGUGUUUGUUUGUUUGUUUCUGUUUUUAUGUUUUGACUGAUUAUGUGAAAUAGUUUAAACAACUAUGGGAGAAAUGAGAUAAUUUCUUCCUUCUGAUGUUUUUUGAUGAUCUCAAUUACUUGUAUUUAAGAACUUAGGAUCGAAUGAAUUAUCUAUUCUUAUUUGGAUGAGAGAAGAAUACAACUGUUACUGCAUUAUGUCAGUAAAAAUUUCAGAUGCACAUCUGAGAGUUUCAUUCUCUAUUUUUAGGGCCUUUUCACUUUCUGAACAUUGGGUGAACAACUCACUGCUUAUUUAGCAGAUUGUACAUUAAAAAAUGUAAAGUACAGAGGCAGGAAUAUCAUACGUUUGGUGAUAAUUACAAGUGUUCAUUUCCUCACUAAGUACUAGGCAUUCCACAUGGUUUCUAUAGCAACCUAUGGUCUGUUAAAUUAAGUGCCUAAUGUGAAUAUAUGAAUAAGUUUUGGUACUUAAGGAAAAAAUUAUCCUCAAACACUGGGAUGGUAUGUGAGUUUAUAGUUGCAGUUAAGCAUAUUAGUUUUAUGUUAAUUCCUAGGUUAUCUUUAGAAAAAUGAUUUUUUAAGUUUUUCAGAUUCUAAAAAAAAAUUGCUACUGCAUGAAGAAUGAAUAUAUUUUAAUGAAUUUCUAAAUGGCCUACUGAACCAGAUUCUCCCAGUCCCUCAGCUACUCUUUGGUUGCAAAUUAUGCAAAUGUACAAGCUGCCUUAACUCUUCCAGGACACUAGGGUACCAUUUGGCAAGCUACUCCCGGGAACAAGUCUAUCCUGGGGCAGGGGAUAGAAAAGAAGAAAGGCCAUUUUACAGAGAUUAAGGCAGGGCUGCUUAAUUUAUCAAACAUCCCUGGAAAGCAGAGGUGACAUUAUGGUAAUUUUUCUGAAAAUAAAAGCAUAGAUACCAUCAGCAGGCUAUAGGAACCUGUGCAGAACUGCAGGCAUGAUCAGUGACAGCAAUGUGUGUGGACUCUGAGAUACAAGCUGAAAUUCCACAUAAAACCUGAAACUGGAAGCCCCAGCUGCCCCUAGGAGAAAUGAGGCAACACUGGACACAUUCCUACUCCCAGCCACACUGUCCCAGGAACAGUGUCAGAGGCAGCAGUUACAAGAAUUUAGCUAGAUUUAUCUUUACUUUUUAUGCCAGGGCAUCUUAGGUUGUCAGCCUUUGAGUAUUAGUGAACUU